rnacentral:rRNA from 1 species
UGGUAGUCCACGCCGUAAACGAUGUCGAUUUGGAGGUUGUGCCCUUGAGGCGUGGCUUCCGGAGCUAACGCGUUAAAUCGACCGCCUGGGGAGUACGGCCGCAAGGUUAAAACUCAAAUGAAUUGACGGGGGCCCGCACAAGCGGUGGAGCAUGUGGUUUAAUUCGAUGCAACGCGAAGAACCUUACCUGGUCUUGACAUCCACAGAACUUUCCAGAGAUGGAUUGGUGCCUUCGGGAACUGUGAGACAGGUGCUGCAUGGCUGUCGUCAGCUCGUGUUGUGAAAUGUUGGGUUAAGUCCCGCAACGAGCGCAACCCUUAUCCUUUGUUGCCAGCGGUUAGGCCGGGAACUCAAAGGAGACUGCCAGUGAUAAACUGGAGGAAGGUGGGGAUGACGUCAAGUCAUCAUGGCCCUUACGACCAGGGCUACACACGUGCUACAAUGGCAUAUACAAAGAGAAGCGACCUCGCGAGAGCAAGCGGACCUCAUAAAGUAUGUCGUAGUCCGGAUUGGAGUCUGCAACUCGACUCCAUGAAGUCGGAAUCGCUAGUAAUCGUAGAUCAGAAUGCUACGGUGAAUACGUUCCCGGGCCUUGUACACACCGCCCGUCACACCAUGGGAGUGGGUUGCAAAAGAAGUAGGUAGCUUAACCUUCGGAGGGCGCU